rnacentral:ncRNA from 1 species
ACAAAUGCAUGGAUGGAUCAGCAGUAGGUAGCUUGUGGAUGCUUUCAGAGAGCCGGUGGAGGGUGCGAACCGGUACCUGCAGGUUAGUGAAUUACGGUCUUGAGCAGUGAAUGGGAACCUGCAGCCAAUUGGAACUGCACUAGUAGUAUUUGCCGACUAAACCCCGUUACAGGUUCUUGAGUGAAAAUAGUGAGCCGUAGAACUUAUCUAUAGUUGUACGUAACUGCUGUUUUAAUUAGGGUGGUACCGCGAGUCAAGUCUUCUCGUCCCUUGU